CCUGCGGGUGGCUGCAGUGGGGAAUAUUGGACAAUGGGCGAAAGCCUGAUCCAGCCAUGCCGCGUGUGUGAAGAAGGCCUUCGGGUUGUAAAGCACUUUCAGUGGGGAAGAAAGCCUUGGGGCUAAUACCCUCGAGGAAGGACAUCACCCACAGAAGAAGCACCGGCUAACUCCGUGCCAGCAGCCGCGGUAAUACGGAGGGUGCAAGCGUUAAUCGGAAUUACUGGGCGUAAAGCGCGCGUAGGCGGUCUGAUAAGCCGGUUGUGAAAGCCCCGGGCUCAACCUGGGAACGGCAUCCGGAACUGUCAGGCUAGAGUGCAGGAGAGGAAGGUAGAAUUCCCGGUGUAGCGGUGAAAUGCGUAGAGAUCGGGAGGAAUACCAGUGGCGAAGGCGGCCUUCUGGACUGACACUGACGCUGAGGUGCGAAAGCGUGGGUAGCAAACAGGAUUAGAUACCCUAGUAGUC
rnacentral:rRNA from 1 species